ensembl:lncRNA
CCAUUACUGCCAAACACCACAGCACUAUUACUACCAUUACCACCAAACACCACCAUUACUGCCAAACACCACAGCACUAUUACCACCAUUACCACCAAACACCACCAUUACCGCCAUUACCACCAAACACCACAGCACUAUUACCACCAUUACCACUAAAACCCCACCAUUACCACCAAACACCACCAUAACCACCAGACACCACCAUUACCACCAUUACCACCAAACACCACAUCACUAUUACUACCAUUACCACCAAACACCACCAUUACUGCCAAACACCACAUCACUAUUACCACCAUUACCACCAAACACCACCAUUACCGCCAAACACCACAUCACUAUUACUACCAUUACCACCAAACACCACCAUUACCGCCAAACACCACAGCACUAUUACCACCAUUACCACAACACCACCAUUACCACCAAACACCACAUCACUAUUACCACCAUUACCACCAAACACCACCAUUAC